AUUAGUAUUAGUUAUUUUCUUGAAAAUUAAAGAUUUUGGCGGUGUUUUAGUCUAUUCAGAGGAACCUGUUCUGUAAUUGAUAAUCCACGAUUUACUUUACUUAAAUAAUUUGUAUAUCGUCGUUUUGAAUAUUUUAUAAGAAUUUUAAUAUUCAAUUUUUAAAAUAAAAAUUUAAGUCAGAUCAAGGUGCAGUUUAUAUUUAAGAAGAAAUGGGUUACAAUAAAUUUAUUUAAAUGGUUUGAUAAUUGAAAUUUUAUCAUUAAAUUGGGAAAGUAAAAUUUUUAAAUAAAUAAGUUGAAGAAG
rnacentral:rRNA from 1 species